rnacentral:sRNA from 1 species
CCUGAAAUGUUUUCUGGGUAAUAUGGUUCUUAC